AAAUCAAUACCACAUAAGCAUAAUUAAUUUAAUAUUUUAUAUAUAUUUUAACCAUACAUACCUUGUGCUAUAAUGAAGGCUAAGAUAGAACACCUAGCUAUGACUUAGAAUAGCUUAGCCCCUGCAUUUAGUCAACACACAAUAUGAAUACAGAGUCACCUCUAUUAACUUGGCUACAUAAAACUCAUUGUCAUCCUUACCUGACACCAUACUACUUAAUCCCUUCGAUGCGGCUGUACACCAUGUAUGAGACUAUUAACUUAUAUUUAUAAGUAUAUACCGAUAGACAUUACCUUAAUAUUGAGAUCACGCAACUAACUAAGCCUUAUCACUAUAAUUUCGGUAUUUGAUUACGGCUCCAAAAGUAGUUUCUAGAAUAUUCUAGAAUUAUAAAUAUAAACAAAUAUAUUUUAAUACAUAAUUACAAUUAAUAUAGAUUUGAUGAUAAAAUACUUAAUUAAAAUAUUGGGGUAUUAUAUUCUUCCCCCCUUAAUAGAAUUUCGUCCUCGAAAUUAAAGGCACGAACCUUAUUCAAAAAGAUAUGGAUACUUUGUGCGAACAGACUCCUCGGUUUCCCACGUAGCUUCUCGAACAUCAUGGUUCUUCCAAAGAACCUUAACAAAAGGAAUCGUGUUUUUACGCAAGACUCUCUCCUCUCUCGCCAAUAUAGCCUCGGCCUCUUCUUCACAAGACAAGUCCUCUCGAAAUGCGUCCAAAGGAUACUGAACAAUAUGAUGUGGAUGAUAAACAUAUUUUCUCAAAAGUGAUGCGUGGAAUACAUUAUGAAUCCGUGAUAACUGUGGUGGCAAUGCAACUCUAUACGCCACUGUUCCGACUCUCUCAAGAAUCUCGAAAGAUCCAAUAUACCUCGGACUCAAUUUACCCUUUUGACCGAACCGCUGAAUGCCCUUCGAAGGAGAUACUUUUAGAAAAACGUUGUCACCAACUUUAAACUCAUACUCUCGUCGACCUUUAUCUGCAUAACUCUUUUGUCUUGACCGGGCCUGUCUAAGCCUCUCUCGAGCUACCUCUACCUUAUCGGUAGUGACCUGAACCAGAUCGGGACCCUCCAAAAGUUUCUCACCCACUUCAUUCCAACAAGUUGGUGUCCUACACUUGCGCCCAUAAAGUGCCUCAAAAGGAGCCAUACCGAUACUCGCCUGCCAACUGUUGUUGUAAGCAAAUUCCACCAACGGCAGAUACUCAUCCCAAUUUCCUGACCAAUCCAAUGCACAUGCUCGUAACAUAUCCUCCAAAGUCUGAAUCGUCCGCUCUGACUGUCCAUCUGUCUGUGGAUGAAAAGCUGUACUGUAGUUUAGUUUGGUACCCCAUGCUUUCUGAAAUCCUUGCCAAAAUUUUGAAGUGAAUCUAGGGUCUCUAUCGGAAACAAUAGAAACUGGAAUCCCAUGAAGUCUCACAAUUUCAUUCCUGUACGCUAGUGCUAAACCCUCCAAGCUCGUACUACCACGAAUAGCCAAAAAGUGUGCUGACUUAGUAAGCCUGUCCACGAUCACCCAUAUUGCAUCAUUCUUCCUCAAAGUCCUCGGCAAUCCAAUCACAAAAUCCAUACAUAUGUGCUCCCACUUCCAAGUAGGCAUUUCCAAAGGCUGUAACAAUCCACUGGGUCUCUGAUGCUCUAUCUUCACCUGCUGACAAGUCAAACACUUUGAAACAAACUCGGCUAUAUCACGUUUCAUACCAAUCCACCAAAAAUGUUCCUUUAAGUCAUGAUACAUCUUUGUUCCACCUGGAUGAAUUGAAAAUGGUGACCGAUGAGCUUCCUCCAUCACUUCCUCCCUAAGUUCCUUGUUAUCGGGCACACAUAAUCGGUUACCCAUCCAAACAAUACCCUGAUCAUCAAUGCGAAGUUCGGGUUGCUUUCCAGCUUCCAUGCUCUGUAUAAGGUACCACAACUCUCCAUCACCAUCCUGAGCUGCCUUAAUCCUCGAGAUAAGACUAGGCUCCACGUGCAUACUUGCCACCAUACCAACAACAUCAUGAUGAUAAAACUCCAAGCCAAACUUCUCAAUCUCGCGUUGAAGAGGUCUCUGUUGUGUCAUCAAUGCUGCCAAAUUCCCAAAGUUCUUCCGACUCAAGGCAUCUGCUACCUUAUUAGCUUUCCCCGGAUGAUACUGAAUACUCACAUCAUAAUCCUUCAAUAGCUCAAUCCAUCGCCUCUGCCUCAUGUUAAGCUCCCUCUGGGUAAAAAUAUACUUCAGACUUUUGUGAUCAGUAAAUAUCUCACAUUUAUCGCCAUACAAAUAGUGUCGCCAAAUCUUUAGUGCAAAAAUCACGGCCGCAAGCUCCAAAUCGUGUGUCGGGUAGUUCACCUCAUACGGUUUUAGUUGCCUUGAAGCGUAGGCGAUCACCUUCCCAUGCUGCAUCAGUACACAUCCAAGUCCCUUCUUUGAAGCAUCACUGUAAAUCACAUAACCAUCCAUUCCAGAUGGUAGAGUCAACACUGGAGAUGUCACAAGUCUCUUCUUCAAUUCCUGAAAACUAGCCUUACAUUCGUCAGUCCAUAUAAAUUUGUUGCUUUUCCGAGUCAACUGCGUCAAUGGCAUAGCAAUGGUCGAGAAACCCUCAACAAAACGUCGAUAAUAGCCAGCAAGUCCAAGAAAACUCCUCACCUCCGUCACAGUGCUAGGUCUUGGCCAGUUUGUAAUAGCCUCAACCUUUCCAGGGUCCACCUUGAUUCCAUCUGCUGAUACGAUAUGUCCCAAAAAGGCAACCUGAUCGAGCCAAAAUUCACACUUCUUGUACUUUGCAUACAACUUGUGCUCCCGUAACGUUUCCAAUACCACUCUAAGAUGCUCUUCAUGUUCUUCUUUAGUCUUCGAGUACACCAAGAUGUCAUCAAUAAACACGAUCACAAAUUUAUCUAGGAAAUCUUUGAAUACCCUGUUCAUCAAGUCCAUAAAAACUGCUGGUGCGUUGGUCAACCCGAAAGACAUUACCAAGAACUCGUAGUGCCCAUACCGAGUCCUAAAUGCUGUCUUAGGGAUAUCACUUGCCUUCACUCUCAACUGAUGGUAGCCUGAACGAAGAUCAAUCUUUGAGAAAUAUUUUGCCCCCUGUAGCUGGUCAAAUAAAUCAUCAAUCCUGGGUAGUGGGUACCUAUUCUUCACAGUAAUUCGAUUCAACUCCCGAUAGUCAAUGCAAAGCCUCAUCGAACCAUCCUUCUUCUUCACAAAUAAUACUGGUGCUCCCCAUGGUGAAACACUAGGUCUGAUGAAGCCUUUAUCAAGUAGUUCCUGCAGUUGUUCCUUCAACUCUUGUAGUUCAAGCGGAGCCAUUCUAUACGGAGCCUUGGAAAUUGGUUGUGCACCGGGUAUCAAAUCAAUAGAAAAUUCCACCUCUCUAUGUGGUGGUAAUCCAUCCAAAUCCUCUGGAAAUACAUCAGGAAACUCACGAGCCACACUGACGUCAUCAAGUUUAGUCUGCUCUAUAGAAGAAUCAACCAUAUGAGCCAAGUAUCCCUCACAACCAUGUGCAAUCAUCUUCUGUGCCUUAAUGGCUGAAAUAAAUUUUCCCAGAGAAGCAAGCUUAGAACCUUGGAACUCAAACUCGGGUGAAAUUGGGUCGCCAAAAAUUAUCUUCUUCUGCUGACAGUCGAUAGUAGCCUUAUGUUGUUCCAACCAAUCCAUCCCCAAAAUAACAUCAAAGUCUCGCAUCGGAAUAGGUAAGAGAUCGACAGAUAAUUCCCUAUCUUCAAUUCUAACCACACACUCAAGAUAUUGAACAUUCACAGACAUAUUUAACCCCAUAGGGUUAGCAACAGAAAAUUCAGACAACAAUGUAGUAGGUGCAAUGCAUAGAUGUUUGACGUAAGAUGUAGAAACAAAUGAAUGUGUAGCACCAGUGUCAAAUAAGACUGUAGCAUCACAAUUACCAAUCGAAAGUGUUCCUGUAAUGGUACCUGAAGAGUUAGCCGCAUCCUUUGCAGUGAGAGAAAACACGCGUCCAGAAUUUUUCUGCUCAUUCUUCCCAGUAUUAUUAUU
rnacentral:lncRNA from 1 species